CUUUGAGGUCGCAUAUGUCCAACAGGGGAAACACAUGGCCUCUCUGUGUCUGCUGUGCAGCCUUGCUCAUGGUGCCAGGCCGCCUUCUUGAUGUCAGCACUGCUCUUCCUUCUUUCCCAGUGGAGGAGGGAAGUCUUCACAAGACAAAUAGGUGUGUGCCAGACAGGGGAAACUAGCCUGAACACUGAAGCCCAGAGCUGUGUCAGCGGCACCUGACGUGUCGGGGGGCGGGUAGCAAGAGGGCAUCCUGGAGAGGCUUUCAGAGAGUGAAAUGCAGGGGAGGACCCAGGGGUUUCAAGUCAGGGAGGUGAUGUACUCUGGGUUUUUGACCAUCUCCAGGAGCUGCGUGAGAGCUGCUUUGGUGAAAAAGGGCAAGUCUGUUCCCUUUUCUUUCCCUGUAGCCACACCCCUGGCUCAGGCCCCUUCUCCUAUCUGGUCUGUUGCAACACUUCCUCCUUGUUCUGCCUGCUUCUCAUGCAGCUCCUUCUCCCACCCAAGUUCCCCUGAUCUCGCCAAGGUGAUCUUUUUGGAAUCCCACAUCUUCUCCUGUUACUAUGUUACUGGAAACCUUUUGAUACCCGACCAGCCACAAGGUAGAAUCUGCACUGUGUGGUGGGACUCCCUUUGCUUUUCAUGAUCCUCCCAUGGUGCCCUUGGUCUCCUGCUGCCAACUGGAAACCUGCAUUUGGAUUAUCUCAAAUCCAGUCCUUCCAAAAGUGCUUUGAGAUCCCCUGCCUGUUUUUUCCUCCUUGCCACCCCCACCCUCUGAACUCCAUGACUGGGACCAGUGUGCCCUUCAGCUCCCACGUGCAAAAGGGAAGAGUCAUUUUUGAACUCUGCUUUGACUUCCUUUCCCCCUUCUGCGAUCAUUCACCCAGACGUGUGAUUUUGUCGGCUGAUUUUUUCUGGAAUCUACCUCCUUUUCUCCACCACUGCUUCUGCCCUCUCAUUCCGAGCUAUGGUCAUUUGUGGUGUGAUCCACAGUGCUAGUGUGAUUGGUGAGCUUCCAGGUGCAUCAACCUCCCCCAAGAACUGUCUCCCCUGGAAUCCAGAGAUUUGUGGAAGCCCCACGCAUUCAUAUCACUGCCUAGUUUCUUGUUUCCUGGCUGCUGCUGCUUCUUUUUUUUCUUAAGAUUUUAUUUAUUUAUUUGACAGAGAGAGACACAGCGAGAGAGGGAACACAACCUGGGAAAGUGGGAGAGGAAGAAGCAGGCUUCUUGCUGAGUGGGGAGCCCAAUUGGGGGCUCGAUCCCAGGACCCUGGGCUGAAGGCAGAGCUUAACAACUGAGCCACCCAGGUGCCCCAGUUUCCUGGCUUCCUGUAGCUGUUGGAGAUGGACCCAAAUGUUCCUUCAGUGUCUGCACACCUGGUCCAUCUUCCUUCUCCAGUCCUGCUUCCCAAUCACCUUUGCUGCACUACGGGAUCUGGUGAAUGCCGUGACUCCACAAUCUCUAUUGAAUGGUUACUCAAUUGCCAGAGGCACAGUUCUCACAUGGUUCCAGACGUGACCCAAACAGAUUGGGGUGGAACAGUUAGUGAGCCUUUCUUCCAGUGAGAAGCAGCCAGAAAACAGAGUCAAGAAAUCUGGCAUGUCAGGGGGUGCUGGAUGCUGUAGGAAGGUUGGAAGCGGCUGUCAUCUAAGCUGGGAUGGCCAGGAUCUACGGAAGAUUAUAUUUUCCCGGGCUUGAACAACGUGUGAAUGGAAUUUUGUCAUAUGCAAUUCCUUUGUCUUCUUUCACUCAGCGUGUUCUUUGAGAUUCAUCCAUGUUGUGUGCACUUCCAAAGACGGUCUGUGAGGUCAUUUUAUAAGCAUAGAGGCUUUUACCUACGCAGGAUGAAGAUGAAGGGACUAUGGAUAUUUUGGUCAAGUCCAUGUCAUCAGUCAGCUGAUAAAGGCAUUUAUACAGGAAACAGAAUGUCAUUGUCAAAUUCUAAAUCUUGGGACUACAAUGGAGACCACCUUCUGGAGAUUAAAGAUGUAUUCAUUUAUUUGAGAGAGAGGGAGGCGGAAUGAGCGAGGAGGGGCAGAAGCAAAAGGAUUCAGAGAAUCCGGAAGCAGACUCCCCACUGAGCACUGAACCCAACUCAUGACUGGAUCCCACAACCCUGAGAUCAUGACCUGAACCGAAAUCAAGAGUUUGCCACUCACUUGACUGAGCCCACCCAGACAUCCCAAGGGAAAGCUCCUUAUAAUAAGGAUGAAGAUCUUCUCCCAAGAAAAUAUUUUGAGGUUGACUUUCCGGUCAUAGUCACGAGAAAGCUACACAGCAUCAAGCACAUUUUCUGGUCCUGCACCUUAGAGUUUCUGAUUUUGCCAUCAUAGUGUCCAGAGCUCACAACCAAGGAAGAAUUCUUGAGCUGUCUCUGGUGCCGCAAAAAGACCUCCCUCGGUCAGGAGUCCUGGGAUACUUGGCGGGGUAUUCCGACCGUGCAGAAUGCUUUUCCAUAGCAGACCAGUUUCUCCAGAGAUGUGCUGGACUUUGCUGAUGAUGUCAUCUGGGUACAGCAAAAAUCAACAGACCCUCCAAACACGAUCCUAACACUGAAGGCGGAAGUGACACAGUGGAAGAACUUGUCCCAGUCUUCAUCGCAGGGACUGAAGAGCUCAGACUCAGCUGAAGUCUGGAAACUGAAGAACACCGUCAGGGACAGAACAGCAUCGGGUGAGGGAGAUGGAUGACCACAUCAGCUUGGAGUGGCGGGAUUACAGAAUAUCCCUCAGGAGCCUCCCCAGGAAAAGAGUUUGGAUGUUGGGAGCAUAAUCGCCACACCCUCCAUCGCUCGGUAGUCGCCUCAGCCUCUGCUGGCAUCGAGCAAUAAAGAAACACAGACAAAGGUCAGUGCAGAGUCCCCAUUGACUCUAUCCAGUUUUCAUUUUCUCAUACUUGGGCUCACCUCGUCAGGGCGGUAUGGUAAGAACUAGAUUUACCCUUGAUUUGACAAUCUUUAUGGAGUUUCUACCCAAGGCUCCACAGCAGGCACUGGAGAAAGAUGACAAGAGCUCUCUCGAGGCCUUCCAUUUACUGGAGAACAAGAGCAAGUAAAUAGGCCACUAGAAAACCGGGUGCUGUGUGGAGUUAUGAAAUUUCCCAGGAUGGGUCCUCUAGUCUUUGUUGGAGCAUCAGUAGCAUCAGUGAAGGGCUUUUAGAAGAAGAGACCUUUGCCUGGAGAGCAGAAAAAUGAGUAGGUGGCAGCUACAGGGCUGGUGUGGUGAAAGGAGGUCCGGAAUAUUCCAGGGAGGAGUGAACAGGUAGGAAUCCUUGGCCUGCUCUGGAAUCUAAAAGCAGGGCAUCUAUGGCUGAAAUGGAAGUGUGAAGAGAGAAGCUGUUGCAGAGGAGGUUGGGCCAAGGAGAGCCUGACCAUCUUGGGAGCUUGAAAGGGCUCAGAACGGGUGUGCCUGGGAGGCUCAGUUGGUUCAGCGUCUGCCUCCAGCUCAGAUCAUGAUCCUAGGGUCCUGGGAGAGGGGCCCGAGGUCAAGCUGCCUGCUCGGUGGGAAGCCUGCAUCCUCCUCUCCCAGAGCUUGUGUUCUCGCUCUGUCAAAUAAAGAAAAUGAAUAAAAGCCUCAGAAUUUUGUGCCAAAAGAGCAAACACCCAUUUCCUGAUAUGGUGUAUAAAUAGGCCAGAACGACAAUGUGACAAAUCUGUCUUGACCCUCACCGAAUAUUGAUUUCACAAGACAUGUUACUAAGACUCCCAAGGAAUUAUCUUAGAAUUCAUUUACAUAUUCUUCAUUGAAACAUUAGCCCCCACACCUGAUGAGGGAGCAGAAGGGUAGUUGAGGUCAAGGCAGAAGCUGACACCCUGCACUCACCCGUCCCCACGCCUCAGUGGGACCUGUGUGACCUUCGUCCAGGAAACUUCCAACCAUCUUCAUGUUCAUUCCUUGCUGGAAGGUAAAACCACCUCACUUGGCCAUGGCAAGGUCUCCAGUAUCAUGUAGGUCCUCUUUAGCAUAGGAAAGUGCUUUUGAAACCCUUCCCUUCCCUUUCCUCACCUCCCCCAACUUCCAAGUGUGUAUCAGUUGCCCCCACAACCCUGAUGCAGCUAUUUCUGCCCACGGAUCCUGUCCCUGUGCUUUAAUAAAACCACUAUUUUGCACCAAA